GCUUUCGUUUAGACUGCUAGAUUGCCCUGUUCACUCAUGGAAAGGAUUGCGUGAACAGGGAAUUCUAGCAGUCUAAAGGAAGC